UACAGAGGUCUCAAGCGUUGUUCGGAUUCAUUGGGCGUAAAGGGCGCGUAGGCGGCGUGUCAAGUCAGGCGUGAAAGCCCCGGGCUCAACCUGGGAACCGCGCUUGAGACUGGCAUGCUCGAGUUCGGGAGAGGAUGGUGGAAUUCCCAGUGUAGAGGUGAAAUUCGUAGAUAUUGGGAAGAACACCGAUGGCGAAGGCAGCCAUCUGGACCGACACUGACGCUGAGGCGCGAAAGCGUGGGGAGCAAACAGG
rnacentral:rRNA from 1 species